rnacentral:rRNA from 1 species
GACGAACGCUGGCGGCGUGCUUAACACAUGCAAGUCGAGCGAUGAAGUUCCUUCGGGAAUGGAUUAGCGGCGGACGGGUGAGUAACACGUGGGUAACCUGCCUCAUAGAGGGGAAUAGCCUUUCGAAAGGAAGAUUAAUACCGCAUAAGAUUGUAGUAUCGCAUGAUACAGCAAUUAAAGGAGUAAUCCGCUAUGAGAUGAACCCGCGUCGCAUUAGCUAGUUGGUGAGGUAACGGCUCACCAAGGCGACGAUGCGUAGCCGACCUGAGAGGGUGAUCGGCCACAUUGGGACUGAGACACGGCCCAGACUCCUACGGGAGGCAGCAGUGGGGAAUAUUGCACAAUGGGGGAAACCCUGAUGCAGCAACGCCGCGUGAGUGAUGACGGUCUUCGGAUUGUAAAACUCUGUCUUCAGGGACGAUAAUGACGGUACCUGAGGAGGAAGCCACGGCUAACUACGUGCCAGCCGCCGCGGUAAGAC